GACGAACGCUGGCGGCGUGCUUAACACAUGCAAGUCGAACGGAAAGGCCCUGCUUUUGUGGGGUGCUCGAGUGGCGAACGGGUGAGUAACGCGUGAGUAACCUGCCCUUGACUUUGGGAUAACUUCAGGAAACUGGGGCUAAUACCGGAGAGGAGCUCCUGCUGCAUGGGGGGGGUUGGAAAGUUUCGGCGGUUGGGGAUGGACUCGCGGCUUAUCAGCUUGUUGGUGGGGUAGUGGCUUACCAAGGCUUUGACGGGUAGCCGGCCUGAGAGGGUGACCGGCCACAUUGGGACUGAGAUACGGCCCAGACUCCUACGGGAGGCAGCAGUGGGGAAUAUUGCACAAUGGGCGGAAGCCUGAUGCAGCAACGCCGCGUGCGGGAUGACGGCCUUCGGGUUGUAAACCGCUUUCGCCUGUGACGAAGCGUGAGUGACGGUAAUGGGUAAAGAAGCACCGGCUAACUACGUG
rnacentral:rRNA from 1 species